rnacentral:lncRNA from 1 species
AUGAAGACUACUAAACAUGGGAAGAAGAUGAAGACUACUAAAACAUGGGGGAAGAUGAAGACUACUAAAACAGGGGGGGAGAUGAAGACACUAAAACAUGGGGAUGAUGCAGACUACUAAAACAUGGGGGGAGAUGAAGACUACGAAAACAUGGGGGAUUCUGAAGACGACUAAAACAUGGGAAGAAGAUGAAGACGACAAAACAUAGGGGAAGAUGAAGACUACUAAAACAUGGGGGGAAGAUGAAGACUACUAAAACAUGGGGGGAUGAUGAAGACUACUAAAACAUGGGGGGAUGAUGAAGACUACUUGUGUUUCUAUCUUCCUUAUUUUUUAUCUUUAUUUAACUUUUUUUUAACCUUUAUUUAACCAGGCAAGUGAGUUAACAACAAAUUCUUCAUUUCAAUGACGGCCUAGGAACAGUGGGUUAACUGCCUGUUCAGGGGCAGAACAACAGAUUUCUACCUUGUCAGCUUGAUGGUUUGAACUUGCAACCUUUCGGUUACUAGUCCGACGCUCUAACCGCUAGGCUACCCUGUGUCUCCCUAAUCUUUUUAAUAUUACUUUUUUCCCUCUUGCCCUCCCUAUUCUUAACUUCCCAAACAAAUCAAAUAAAUAAGAUCUGAACUCAAAAAAAUAAACAAAUAAAUCUAUCAGAAUACUUUGAUUGAAGCUUUAUUUCAAAGACGUUUAUGAAUAUUAUAAUAUAUAGAGUGUUAGGUGUUACUACACUGUUAAUAAGCAUGAAGCUAUAUCUCUCUCUCUCCAUCUCUCUCUAUCUCUCUCCAUCUCUCUAUCUCUCUAUCUCUCUCCAUCUGUCUCUAUCCAUGUCUCUCCAAAUCUCCAUCUCUCUCUCUGCUUCUCUCUCCCUCUAUCUCUCUCUCUCCAUAUCUCCAUCUCUCUCUGUCCAUCUAUAUCUAUAUAUCUCUCUCUAUCCAUCUAUCUCUCUCUAUCUCUCUCUCUGCUUCUCUCUCCCUCUAUCUCUCUCUAUCCAUCUCUCUCCAUAUCUCCAUCUCUCUCUGUCCAUCUGUAUCUCUCUCUGUUUCACUCCAUCUGUCUAUCUCUCUCUGCUUCUCUAUCGCUCUCCCUCUAUAUCUCUCUCUCUCCAUCUAUAUCUAUAUCUCUCUCUGUUUCUCUCUCUCCAUCUCUCUAUCUCCGUCUCUCUGUUUAUCUAUCUCUCUCCAUCUCUCUCUCACUCUCUCUCCAUCUCUCUCACUCUCUCUCCAUCUCUCUCACUCUCUCUCCAUCUCUCUCUCUCUGUCUCUCCAUCUCUCUCACUGUCUCUCUAUCUCUCCCUCUCUACUGUGGCAGGUAGUGUAGGAUGUGUUGGACCAGCAGCUCGGGGUCGUGGGUUAGGGCUUGGGGGUCGUAGUUCAGGGCUCUUCUCCUGCGGCUGGCCCUCCCACCAGGUUGGGCCUGUAGUUCGGUGUCGAUCCUCUUCAUCCUCUGUAACCCCACAGCAUGGUUUGGGGUCUUGUGGCCCUCCCGCUCUCCCCCAAGCCAUCCAGGGGGAGGGAGUAGGAGGGGAGACCAGGGAGCGACGGGAUCUGUGGAAGACUGGUUCUGAGGCUGCUCUGACCCCUCCACCCCCACCACCAGACACAGACACCAGGUCCCUCCUCACCCGGCGGCCUGACGAACCCUGGGGGUUGUUGGGACUAAUGCUGGACAGGAUCUUGGUUACGAGGUAUCUAGAGACACAGGGAUAAUAACAUGAAUUAUGUUUACAUUUUACAACCAAAACAUUAUACCCUGCUAGCUAGUGUACAUUCAAUGGCUACAUAACUGAGUGUAGAAAAUUCCCCCCCCCCCAACCCCCUUUUGCCUUCAGAAGAGAGGAGGUUCUCUACAAGGUGUCGAAAGCAUUCCACAGGGAUGCUGGCCCAUGUUGACGUCAAGUUAGCUGGAUGUCCUUUGGGUGGUGGACCAUUCUUGAUACACACGGGAAACUGUUGAGCGCUAAAAACCCAGCAGCAUUGCAGUUCUUGACACACUCGAAAAACAGCGAGCCGGGCACCUACUACCAUACCCCAUUCAAAGGUACUUCAAUAUUUUGACUUGCCCAUUCACCCUCGGAAUGGCACAGAUGCACAAUCAAUGUCUCAAUUGUCUCAAGGCUUAAAAAUCCUUCUUUAACCACCUGUCUCCUCUCUUUCAUCUACACUGAUUUGAAGUGGAUUUAACAGGUGACAUCAAUAAGGGAUCAUAUCUUUCACCUGGAUUCACCUGGUCAGUCUACGUCAUGGAAUGAGAAGGUGUUCCUAAUGUUUUGUACACUCUGUGUAUAUUCACAUUUCUCUGUGCUCUCUUCCCUCUGUCUCUCUCUUUCUCUCUCCCUCCCUCUCCUUACCUCAGAGCCUCCUGGUCUUGGUCCUGGCUGCCUGUUUCCAGCCUGUCAUUUGUAAACCUGUUGAUGACGGCUGGUAGACCUGGUAACCCGGCCUGCUGCUGCAGCCUCUCCUGCCUGUAUCUGUUGAGCAGYGCCUGGGUGAGCUGGGGGUCCAGUAGGCCCUGCCAUGGAGCUGCAGCCUGGGGCUUURCCAUUCUCAUCCCCUGCUCUGUCUCAUCGUAGUCACGGGUAUAGGGCCCUUGGAAGUCCCCUGGCCCAUGGUCCUCCUCACCUCCCUCCUCUCCGGCAGCUCCUUCAGCUUCACUGAGGAGGCGGAGCAACCCGGCCAGGUACGCCGUUUCCUGUUCAUGCCUCUCGUCGUUCUCCACCAAUUGCUGCAGAGCCUGUCCUAAGCCCUGCCCCCUCCACUCCUCUGGUUGAUAGAGCAGCUCGUUACCCCCCCGGCGGGUCAGGACGUCAGCCGACUCCCCAGGAUAGGACAUCAUCCCGGCCUCGUACGGCAGCGAAUCACGGAGGUCUCUGCGGAGACGCCUGACCCCGCCUCCUGUGGCGUCCAGACCACGCCCCGCCACGCCACGGGCAGCGGACAAUGACUAAGAGGGAGAAAGAGAGAGACAGAAAGAAAGAGAGGAGAAACAAAGAGAGAAAGAGAGAUACAGAGAGAGAAGAGACAGAUGGACAGGAUGAAACAGAGAUAUGUUGGUUAUUUUUAGGACUUUGUAAUAGACUAAGACAAUGCCGACGCCCACAUACAUUAACAGUUGGAACUCUGAGAUGACACAGCAGUAAGUCUCCCCUGGAACUCUGAGAUGACACAACAGUAAGUCUCCCCUGGAACUCCGAGAUGACACAGCAGUAAGUCUCCCCUGGAACUCUGAGAUGACACAGCAGUAAAAGGCUAUUUAUGCUUGCUCCGUAUGGAGGGAGGAUGUGACGCAGAGGCUUGUGGAGGCCAAAUCGAGCUCCGUACCACUUCCGAUCCAAUUGUGUUCCGAUCCAAUUGUGUUUUUUUGUUUGUUUCUUUGCGUUGUUUGUAAGUUAUUAUGCACAUAAUGUUGCUGCUACCGUCUCUUAUGACCGAAAAGAGCUUCUGAACAUCAGAACUGUGAUUAUUCACCACGAACUGUCAGAAUCCUUUUUUUCCUUUAACGAGUCCGACGAGUCUGACGUGAAUGACAUACUGCUCUCCUGGGAACAGGCCCAGAUCCCCAUCAUUUGUGUGAAAAGAAGGCAGAGAAAAAGGGUCCAGAGGGCGAGCUGGUAGGCGAUCGAAUAAACCACCACUGCCUUCCAUUCUGCUAGCAAACGUGCAAUCUUUGGAAAAUAAAAUCGAUGACCUACGCGGAAGAUUAAACUACCAACGGGACAUUCAAAACAGUAAUAUCUUAUCCUUCACGGAGUCGUGGCUGAACGACGACAUCAUCAACAUACAGCUGGCUGGUUAUACGCUGUAUCGACAGGACAAAACAACGGCGUCUGGUAAGACAAGGGGCGGGGGCCUAUGCAUAUUUGUAAACAAUAGCUGGUGCACGAUAUCUAAGGAAGUCUCAAUGUUUUGCUUGCCUGAGGUAGAGCAUCUAUACAAAGCACUCCCUCGCC